AGGGGUAGAGGAAAAGCAGAGGGAAGCUGGCACUGUGAUAAUCCUGGACUCGAAGCUGCAUUACUGUGCAAGGACACCCAUGUGUGGUCGAUAAGCAGUCUGAAGUCGAGCGUCCCAUGAAGCGAAGAGUCGCAGCUGCCGCUCAGCUUCGGGGAGCUUACCCGUAAGGAGAGUGUGUGAAGACAUAAGGCAUGCAUCGACCCCUUCGAUAGUCCCAUCGAACCCCAAGGAACAACAACGACCACCUGGGCUAGCCUUCCCUCAUCUCCAAGACCCGGGAGAGGAGCACGAGUUCCCUCACUGCCUUCGUUUCUGAUCAGUCGAGUAGAGUUCCCUUGAGCGGAGUCUCUGGAUGACGCCCGAGGAAAGGCACGCACGGUCACUCAGCUGAGACGAAUUUACCGGGACAGAGUGUGUGAAGAA